CCGGCUGUGUCACUCAAGAGGACAGGGAAUCCACCGAUGUCCAGUGCCGUCUCUACUAUGUCCCUUGUGGUGCCGGCGAUGGGAGACACAAUUGCUGCAGGUCUCUGGCCUGGAUGUAAAAAGAUUAAAGAAUAAGAUGUUGCAUUCUUGCCCACCCAAACCAUGGCUGACAGCGGUAUGAUUCAACAAGUGUGUUAAGAAGGCUACUUUUCCCUGCAUUGGUGGCUCCUGCGAUGACCACCUGGACUCCGCUGCGUAACCGCUCGCCCCGCCUCUCAUCCUUUAGGUGCUGCUCCAUCUCUGCUUGCAGAUCACACACCCAUCUGUCCACUUUGGGGGUUGAGAGGGAGAUAAAGAAAGAGGAGGGAACAGGACAUGACGAAGAUUUCUGUACAACUUCACUUUCAUGGCCUUGUGAAGGGAAUUUUUGUCCUUUGAAGGAAAUAAGCCUGUCCGUCGUCUGGACGAAAAAUGGGUCAUGGACCAGGCUCUUUCCGCAUAUGACUAAAGCGGAAAAAUGCUUUUGACAAUACAAUGCAUCAACAAUUCCGUGCUUUUUUUUUUACGUUUAACCUGUAGAUUCUUGACUCAAGCACAUUAUUCCUCCAACUUAUGAUGACUCGAGAUAAAACAUAAGGAAACUUCAGAUAUAACAUAAGCCAUGUCAUUUUCUGGUGGCGAUGGAAAGUAUUUAUUCCAUAUUUUCUAUUUUUGGAAUAGUCUAUUAUUUUUUUCAACUGAGGCGUGAGCCCACAUACCGUGCCACCAAAAUAAACAAUCUUUCCCAAGCUUUAUUGUGUCCAAACUUCACAACAUCUGAGGCUUCAGAAGGGCUCCGUCAGUGCCAGACAGCAGGCGACAGACUCAGGGGGAACAUCCCUCACGCACACACACGUUCGCACACACACACGUGCGCACACACACAGCCUCAUAUACACUGUGAGAAUGGGAAACCUGGGCACAGAGUUGGACUGUACAUUGCUGCUGACAGCACUAUUCCUGUGAGCGACAUGUCAGGUUGGCUUUGAAGGCAAGACAAAUGCCUCUACUGUCCCCCCUGGCCUUUUCUCCACACUUCCUAAAAGGAAAUAGUCUUUUAAACAGUUAGAUGUCUAUAGCUUCUCCCCACAGUGUAGCAAACACUCACGAUGGCCAGUUGAAGAUCCAAACAGGAAAGCCAGCCGGACUACCAUCUCCUCAGAGAGAAACAGAGCCAUCUGAAAGCCCAACAAAUGACUGUUCUGUUAUUUUUCUCCAGGAAAGAGCACAAAGUGUACACAUACCUUGGUUUAAGACCCCAUCCUCAAUGAGCUCAUCCUCACUGAAGUCUAUGAAGGCCUCAACAUGAGCCAGACACUGUGCAGCAGACAAAGCAGAGAGGAGAGAAGAACUUUCCUCCAGAAGGACUUUUCUUUGUCCAUGUGAUCAGCAGCAAACUCCAGUCGAGCCUUACGGUGCCGCUUCUGGAGCAAGGGCUUCCUUCUUGCACGGCAGCCUCUCAGCCCAUGCCGAUGUAAAACACGCUUGACUGUGGACACUAACGCCUGUGUUCCAGCAGCUUCUAGUUCAUAGCGGACCUGCUUUUUGGUGGUUCUCGGUUGAAUCUUGACCAUCCUGACCAAUGUUCUCUCAGCAGCAGGUGAUAGCAUGUGUUUUCUUCCUGGUCGUGGCAGUGACACAACUGUGCCAUGCACUUUAUACUUACAAACAAUUGUUUGCACAGUUGAUCUUGGGACCUAUAGCUGCUUUGAAAUGGCUCCAAGUGACUUUCCUGACUCUUUCAAGUCAAUGAUCCGCUUUUUCAGAUCCGUGCUGAGCUCCUUUGACUUUCCCAUUGUAGCGUUUGUGGCUGAGUCUAAUGAUUGUAUCAAAUGAGCCCUAUUUAAAUGUGAUCACCAACAACAUUACGCCCAGAGCUCUAGUCCUUAUGGAAACAUCUAAUGUUUGUACAUCACCCUGCCUUUGUUGGAUGUUGGAAACCGCAGUCUACAACCACCAGUAUCUGUACCAGCGGUCAACCUACCCGUUUCAGUUUGUGGGUCCAGUCUUGAUAAAGGUGUCCCAGCUCUCCUGACAUCUGCCUGAGAGCCUGUCUCCUCUGAGCCUCUGUCUCAGCAUGGAUCAGAUCCCCGAGCCCUUCCACCUGCAAGAAGCAAUAUAAUAGUUAUGACUGCUGUACAUUUUUUAUUUAUCUAUUGCUAGCACCAAUGUUUCCAUUGUGACCAACUGUGAGAAUUAAAGCUGCACCGAUUUUCCCGUUUGAAGCUUCUAUUGGUGGUUUUCAAACAAAGCUUUGAAUGUCUGUCGCCACAUUUUUACGACAUCAGCCUAAAUGUAAUUAACUUUUUUAAAUCCAAAGUGUUUUCAUCGGAUUAAAUUAGUUCGUCUUUCUUAUUCAUCUUUAAUGAAAAACAACUUGUGUGUGGCAAGCAGGAGAGCAAACAGUUCAUGCUGUGAAAAUGUUGUUUUUGAAAGUCAAACCACCAAUAUCAAAAUAUUUUGUUACGUAAAAACAUGUUGUACAUUUUGGAAAUGAUUACAUCCAUCUAUUUUUUAUACAUUUUGACUUUUGGACUUUAAAACGCUCUGGAGUGAUCGGGAACAAUCCUACGCAGGCACCACUGGAAUCUGAUACUACAAAUAGUAUAAUACUAAUCAUAUUAGUGUAACCUAAUCCAUAUCUGCAACUGUGCAGAAAUACUGUGCUUAAACACAAUGAACAGACAAAAACAAAACAAUGUACGCAGCAAUGAAAAGUUAGACUUGUUGAUGCUUCAAAGUAUUCCAUACAGCCCUAAUAUAAAUCAAGCAUUAUCCCUGUAAUGUGUAAAAUGUGUCAUCUACAGAAUGGGUUACAUGGUUUUACAAGCAUGUGGUGAUGUGUGUAAGAUGUAUACUGCCACAGUUCCCUGCUACUGUUAAGACACGUUCUUCUCAGGGACAUGUUAUCUCAUUGUCACAUUGAUAUCUAGGAUAAGAUUAUUUAUUUUUUUAAUCAAAGAAAGCAUUUCUGUUCUCUUGAUGGGACUUUAAGAUGCAUUUGAUCAUUUC